rnacentral:rRNA from 1 species
AACGAACGCUGGCGGCAUGCCUAACACAUGCAAGUCGAACGAGACCUUCGGGUCUAGUGGCGCACGGGUGCGUAACGCGUGGGAACCUGCCCUUAGGUUCGGAAUAACUCCCCGAAAGGGGUGCUAAUACCGGAUAAUGUCUUCGGACCAAAGAUUUAUCGCCUUUGGAUGGGCCCGCGUUGGAUUAGCUAGUUGGUAGGGUAAAAGCCUACCAAGGCGACGAUCCAUAGCUGGUCUGAGAGGAUGAUCAGCCACACUGGGACUGAGACACGGCCCAGACUCCUACGGGAGGCAGCAGUGGGGAAUAUUGGACAAUGGGCUAAAGCCUGAUCCAGCAAUGCCGCGUGAGUGAUGAAGGCCUGAGGGUUGUAAAGCUCUUUUACCCGGGAUGAUAAUGACAGUACCGGGAGAAUAAGCUCCGGCUAACUCCGUG